AGCUUUGCGCAGUGGCAGUAUCGUAGCCAAUGAGGUUUAUCCGAGGCGCGAUUAUUGCUAGUUGAAAACUUUACCCAAUACCCCGCCGUGACGACUUGAAAUAUAGUCGGCAUUGGCAAUUUUUGACAGUCUCUAAGGAGA
ensembl:snRNA U4 U4 spliceosomal RNA